rnacentral:rRNA from 1 species
GACGAACGCUGGCGGCGUGCUUAACACAUGCAAGUCGAGCGGUAAGGCCCUUUCGGGGGUACACGAGCGGCGAAACGGGUGAGUAACACGUGGGUGACCUGCCCUCAGCUCUGGGAUAAGCCUGGGAAACCGGGUCUAAUACCGGAUAUGACUCCAUGACGCAUGUUGUGGGGUGGAAAGCCUUGUGCGGCUGAGGAUGGGCCCGCGGCCUAUCAGCUUGUUGGUGGGGUGAUGGCCUACCAAGGCGACGACGGGUAGCCGGCCUGAGAGGGCGACCGGCCACACUGGGACUGAGACACGGCCCAGACUCCUACGGAGGCAGCAGUGGGAAUCUUGCGCAAUGGGCGAAAGCCUGACGCAGCGACGCCGCGUGA